AAAUGAAUAGACGGGGGCCCGCACAAGCGGCGGAGCGUGCGGUUUAAUUCGACGCAACGCGCAGAACCUUACCAGGGCUUGACAUGCGACUGCAGGCUCAUGAAAGUGAGCGUCCUUCGAGGGUGUCGCACAGGUGCUGCAUGGCUGUCGUCAGCUCGUGUCGUGAGAUGUUGGGUUAAGUCCCGCAACGAGCGCAACCCUCGCCGCCAGUUACGUGGGUGUCUGGCGGGACUGCCGGUAGCAAGCCGGAGGAAGGCGGGGAUGAUGUCAAGUCAGCAUGGCCCUUACGUCCUGGGCUACACGCACGCUACAAUGGCGCGCACAGAGGGUAGCCAAACCGCGAGGUGGAGCGAAUCCCAAAAAGCGCGUCUCAGUUCAGAUUGUGGGCUGCAACUCGCCCGCAUGAAGGUGGAGUCGCUAGUAACCGCCGGUCAGCAAUACGGCGGUGAAUACGUUCCCGGGCCUUGUACACACCGCCCGU
rnacentral:rRNA from 1 species